UACGAAGGGGGCUAGCGUUGCUCGGAAUCACAGGGCGUAUAGGGUGCGUAGGCGGGUCUUUAAGUCAGGGGUGAAAUCCUGGAGCUCAACUCCAGAACUGCCUUUGAUACUGAAGAUCUUGAGUUCGGGAGAGGUGAGCGGAACUGCGAGUGUAGAGGUGAAAUUCGUAGAUAUUCGCAAGAACACCAGUGGCGAAGGCGGCUCACUGGCCCGAUACUGACGCUGAGGCACGAAAGCGUGGGGAGCAAACAGG
rnacentral:rRNA from 1 species